AACGAACGCUGGCGGCAGGCCUAACACAUGCAAGUCGAACGCAUCCUUCGGGGUGAGUGGCAGACGGGUGAGUAACGCGUGGGAACGUGCCCUUCAGUUCGGGAUAACCCAGGGAAACUUGGGCUAAUACCGGAUACGCGCGAGAGCAGAAAGAUUUAUCGCUGAAGGAUCGGCCCGCGUCUGAUUAGCUAGUUGGUGGGGUAAUGGCCCACCAAGGCGACGAUCAGUAGCUGGUCUGAGAGGACGAUCAGCCACAUUGGGACUGAGACACGGCCCAAACUCCUACGGGAGGCAGCAGUGGGGAAUAUUGGACAAUGGGCGCAAGCCUGAUCCAGCCAUGCCGCGUGAGUGAUGAAGGCCUUAGGGUUGUAAAGCUCUUUCGUCCGGGACGAUAAUGACGGUACCGGAAGAAGAAGCCCCGGCUAACUUCGUGCCAGCCGCCGCCGUAA
rnacentral:rRNA from 1 species